rnacentral:lncRNA from 1 species
AGAAUCGUGAGAAACCGAGAAGGAAGUAGAGAGUGAAGGUCCUUUCUUUUUCCCUUUCUAUAAAGUGAAAAACACUUGGAAGGAUGAUAUAAUAAGAAGGAACAGGGCAGCCCCCCCAAACAGAGUUCAAAAUCAAAACGCGGUGAAAUUCAGGAAAAUAUGGGAUGCCAGGCAGGCAAGCCCUGCGUCAAAGCAGCAGAUUGCUGCCAAGACUUUUCCUUGUCUUUGGGUGCCGACUCAGUCGUUGCUUUGCAUUUGGACCAUGAUUCAUGAUUAUGAUUCCCAAAUCAAUUUCACGAUUCUUAAAAUCUUUAAUAUGCGGAUGAAACUUCAACUUAUUAUUAGUCAUGUGAAGAAAAUCGAUUUUUUUUUAACAAAAUAUUGAAGAUUAUGAUUUUGAUGAUUAUUGAUUAAUAAUGUGGGGAUAUAUUUUUUUUUAUUGCAUAGCAUAUCAGCCACAAAACUUGAGUUCCAUGAAUUUCUAACAAUGUCCCUAUGUCAUGGGUUGCGCAUGGGAGCCUGCAAUCAUGACGAACUCGUACAAUCCAUCACAUUUGAGGGAGGUCAUUUGGCCAAAUCGGACUGGUCUAUUGCUUGGAGAGAUUAAAAGCCCAUCUCCGGAGCUUGGUAAAUAUGGAAGGUGAUCUUCAGAGAUAUGUGAUCCUAGACAUUAAAUGUAAUCUUUAGAAGAUACGAUUAUGUAAUCUUAGAGAUUUGAUAUCUAGAUAGCUUUUAAUCGUAGCCAUUGAUGUACUUUGAUUUAUAUCGUUGAUUUUGGGGAAGCUCAGCUAUAAAUAGAGGCCUCUCCGCUUAUUGUAAUGCAUUCAGUUAUUAAUAGAAUUUUGAGAGCAUUCCCUCAAAUUUUUCUCUCAAGUGUUCUUAUUUUUCUGUGGCUUUUGUUCAUAUUUCAAGUUCGUUCUUACUUUGUUCUUCUAUUGUUCUUCGUUGGUGCCUUAGAGGAAUUCUGUUGAAUCCUCAAUUGUUGCGAGUUAGGCUGACUUAGACGUUUUUGUGUAAAGAAACUACCUAAGGCCGUACGGAUCGCGUGGGAAAGAUCUAAGCCCGUGACAAUUGGUAUCCGAGCCAGCGUUCAAAGGCACCGUUGAAAGAUGUCAAAAGAAGUUGCUAAGAAUGCUGAGGGAAUAGAGACCCGUGGAGGGCUAGGAAAGUUAGUCGCUCAAGGGACAUACUGUCAGCUUUAGAGGAUCGAGUCGUCACUCUUAAGGAAUCCGUGAGAGAUAUCAAGGAGAUGAUUAAUGAUGUCGAUGAUAAGCUCAAUGAUAUGUUGCAGUCUAUGCUGGAGCAGCUCAAAGUGUAUGUGUUGGAUAAUGUUGAAAAGCUAACUGGUAGGGAUGAUGCCAUUGAGGCUAUGAUGACGACCUUGAAAGAGGAGAUUGCGAAGCUUAAGGGUGAACUCACAAUUUACAAGGCUGCUUUGGGCAAUGAAGGGUUAGCUGUUGUCACACUCAAGCCUAGUGUUGAUGUUCCUAAGCCCAAGGAGUUCAAGGGAACAAGGUCUACAAGAGAUGUGGAUAACUUUCUAUGGGGAAUCGAGCAAUACUUCCGUGCCAAAGGCAUCACGAAGGAUGACACUAAGGUAACUACUGCUGGUAUGUAUCUUUCUAACAUUACUUUGUUGUGGUGGUGUCGUAGGUCCAUCGAUGUGAGACGUGGUGGGACUGAAAUUAGAACUUGGGAGGAGUUCCGAUGUGAAUUCAAAGCACAGUUUUAUCCAGAGUAUGCCGAGGAUGAGGAUCGGGAAAAGUUACGCCGACUUGUGCAAUAAAGCACUGUGAGGGAGUAUGUGCAGGAGUUUAGCGAACUCAUGCUUCAAAUAUCAGAUAUGGGUGAGAAAGAGGUGUUUUUUUCCUUCAUGGAUGGGUUGAAACCAUGGGCAAAGCAAGAGUUGCAACACCGAUGAGUCUAAGAGCUUACCAAGGCCAUGUCUGUAGCAGAAUCGUUUGCUGAAUUUGGUGGGAAAAAAGAUAAGCCUGAUUCUUCUAAUCCCAAAUUCAAUUUAAAGGGCAAUAGUGGGGGAGAUAAAGAGAGGCCCACUAGGAACGGAAACGAUAAGAAGCCUUAGGAAAAAAGAAAGAGUGGGCCUAUAAGUUACUUUCAUUGUAAUGGCUCACAUAUGAUUAAAGACUGUCCAAAGAAGGCCGCAUUCUCUGCUAUGGAAGCAAAAAUAAAGUCAGAUGUGGAUGAUAACAAUCUUGGUUCAAUACUAAGGGGUGUCGAAGAUAAGACGAGUCAUAGGCUGAUGUUUGUAGACAUCAUUGUGGCCGGUAGGAAAUUGGAUGCGCUUGUCGACACAGAUGCGCCUGAUUUGUUCAUGUUCGAAGAGGCUGCUCAUAAACUUGGCCUCAAGAUAGAGAAUGAGUCGGGUCGAAUCAAAACGGUGAACUCAAAAAGUGUUCCAAUCAAUGGGGUUGCAAAGGGGGUGGAUCUCCAACUUAGCAAUUGGACCAGCAAGGUAUCCAUUAAGGUAAUACCGCUUGAUGACUAUGAUUUUGUAGUUGGAUUAAGUUUCCUUAAUCGGGUUAAUAUGUUUAUUGUUCCUUCGAGUAAUUACAUGGUGAUUUUGGGUUUGAACAAUCAAUGCAUGGUGAGAAUGACAAGGAAAAGAAGCUUGGAGGGAAAAACACUAUCAAAAAUUCAAUUUGCUAAAGGAGUACGCAAAGAUGAAGUCUCCUAUUUAGCCACCUUGAAGAUCGAGGAUACUGUUAAGUCCGUUGGUGAGAUCCUGAAAGAAGUGGGCCAAUUAUUGCAGUCUUUUUGGGAUGUGAUGCCCGCUCAGUUGCCUAAAAUUUUGCCACCCAAAAGGAAGGUAGACCACAAGAUCGAGUUAGUGUCCAACAUGGUGCUGCCAACAAGGGCCCCCUAUCGUAUGUAUCUGCCGUAAUUAGAAGAGUUACGAAAAUAAUUGAAGGAACUUUUAUAUGCAGGAUUCAUUAGGCUAUCUAAAUCUCCAUAUGGUGCACCAGUAUUAUUUCAAAAGAAACAUGAUGGGUCGUUGAGAAUGUGCAUCGAUUCUCGGGUUCUAAACAAGAUCACUGUGAAGAACAGGUACCUUAUUCCUCUUAUUACGGAUUUGUUAGAUCAAUUUAGUAGUGCGAGAUGGUUUACCAAGUUGGAUUUAAGAUCGGGGUACCAUCAAGUUCGGAUAGCUAAAGGGAUGAGCCAAAGACAGCUUGUGUGACGUGGUAUGGUUCGUAUGAGUUUCUUGUGAUGCCCUUCGGUCUUACGAAUUCCCCAGCUACAUUCUGCACCCUAAUGAAUAAGGUACUUCAACCUUUUCUUGAUCGUUUUGUGGUUGUUUGCCUUGAUGAUAUUGUGGUGUAUAAUAAGUCUCUUGAGGAGCAUGUGGGACACUUGAGGGAGGUGUUCCAAACUUUGAGGGAAAAUGAGUUGUUCGUCAAAGAGGAGAAGUGCUCAUUUGCCCAAUAAGAAGUGUCAUUCCUAGGCCACAUUGUGGGAGGUGGCAAGAUUCGAAUGGAUGAGAGCAAAAUUUAGGCUAUUGUUGAGUGAGAGCGUCUAACCAAGGUGACGGAGUUGAGAUCUUUCCUUGGGUUAGCGAAUUACUAUCGACGCUUCAUCAAAGGCUACUCUAGAAUUACCACACCCUUGACGGACAUGUUGAAAAUGGGGAAGGUAUGGGAUUGAAAUCCGCAAUGUGAGAGGACCCUUUAAUCAAUUGAAGCAUGCGAUGACGAGGGAGCCCGUACUUGCUUUGCCAGAUUAUUCGAGGCUUUAUGAGGUAUGUACGGAUGCAUCAGAUUAUGCCAUUGGGGGAGUACUGAUGCAAGAUGAACAUCCAAUUACUUUUGAGACUCGAAAGUUUAAUGAGACAGAGCGGAGGUACACGGUCCAAGAAAAGGAGAUGACCGUUGUGGUGUUCUGCUUAUGCACAUGGAGACAUUAUUUACUGGGUUCCAGGUUCGUGGUCCUUAUUAUUAAUGUUGUUAACAAUGAUUUUCUAAACUAAAAAAAGUUGUCUCCCAAUUAGGCUCGUUGGCAGGUUUUCUUAACUGAGUUUGAUUUCACAAUGGGGUAUAAGCCGGUGAGUGCCAACAUUGUGGCUGACGCACUUAGCCGAAAGAUAGAGUUUGCGACAAUUAGUCAACUUGAUGGUUCCUUAUUGAAACGCAUUCGAGAGGGAUUGUCCCAUGAUCCCACAGCUAAAAAUUUGAUUGAGCUUACCAAGGAGGGAAAAACGAAUAGAUUUUGGCUUGAUGGGGAGCUGCUAUACACUUAUGGGCACUGUCUCUAUGUGUCCCAUUAUGGGAAAUUACGUAAGGAAGUCAUGAAGGAGUGUCAUGACUCAAGAUGGGUGGGUCAUCCAAGGAUGUACCAUACUUUAGCCCUUUUGGAGGAUUGUUACUACUGGCCUCUUAUGGGUGAUGAUAUAGAGACUUAUGUGAAAACUUGUUUAAUAUGCCAACAAGACAAGGUCGAGUUAAAAACUCCAGCUGAUUUGCUACAACUCUUGCACAUUUCGAAAAGACCAUGGGAGAGUGUAUCCAUGGAUUUUAUUGUUGGUUUGCCUAAGUUUGAUGAGUUUGCGAGUAUUCUUGUUGUGGUGGACAGGUUUUCGAAGUACGUAACGUUUAUUCCGGCUACCAAGGAGUGCCCUGUUGAGGAGGCAGCUCGUUUAUUUUUUAGACACUGGGUGAAAUAUUGGGAAGUGCCACUGUCUAUUAUCAGUGAUCGAGAUGGACGAUUUACGGGCCGAUUCUGGACGGAGUUGUUUAAGUCAGUGGGCUCAAACUUGAACAUUUCUACGAGCAUGCAUCCGCAAACUGAUGGGCAAACCGAACGAGUAGAUGCAUAGUUGGAAACAUAUAUUCGACACUACGUGAGUGCCACACAAAGGGAUUGGCCAAAGUUGUUGGAUGUGACCUAAUUUUCAUACAACUUGCAGCGAAGUGGGGCCAUGAAUCAAAGUUCGUUCGAAAUAUUGACGGGCCAACGACCACUCACACAUAACGCUGUUAUGACCCGUUAUACAGGUUCAAAUAUGGUAACUUAUUAAUUUGCGAAAGAUUGGCAAGAGAAGAAUGGAUUGGCUAGAGCUUGUUUACACGAGGUAAGUAAGCGCAGCAAGAAGUGAGCCGAUCAGAAUCGAAGAGAUGUGCAAUUUCAGGUGGGUGACUCAGUCCUUGCGAAACUACACUUGAUUUUACGAUAUACGGGUUUGCACAAGGGCUUGUGCGAAGGUAUGAUGGGUAGUUUAAAGUUGUGAUGAGAGUAGGCAAGGUGGCCUACAAGCUUGAGUUGCCAGCAAAGCUCAAAGUCCACCCAGUGUUCCAUGUAAGCAUGCUUAAGCCAUUUCAUGGAGAUCAAGAGGAUCCUAAUCGAGACAAAUCCGAACGAGCACCAAUGGGGGUAAAAAUCUCUUACGAACGUGAAGUUGAAAACAUUGAGGUAGAUCGUUUGAUUAGACAAAAGUACCAUCGACCGCGACAUGAAUACUUAGUUCGAUGGAAGGGAAUUCCCGACAGCGAAGCAAGUUGGGAAUCUACUGAGGCAUUGUGGCAGUUCCAAGGAAAAAUUGACCAGUUCCAUGAGGAAGACGCGACGAGGGCGUAGCUAGAAAAAGUGGGGGAGAAUCGUAUGAUCCAUCGCAUUCGAGAGAGGUCAUUUGGCCCAAUCGGACUGGUCCAUUGCUUGGAGAGUUUAAAAGCCCAUCUCCAGAGCUUGGUAAAUAUGGAAGGUGAUCUUCAGAGAUAUGUGAUCCUAGACAUUAAAUGUAAUCUUUAGAAGAUACGAUUAUGUAAUCUUAGAGAUUUGAUAUCUAGAUAGCUUUUAAUCGUAGCCAUUGAUGUACUUUGAUUUAUACCGUUGAUUUUGGGGAGGCUCAGCUAUAAAUAGAGGCCUCUCCGCUCAUUGUAAGACAUUCAGUUAUUAAUAGGAUUUUGAGAGCAUUCACUCAAACUUUUCUUUCAAGUGUUCUUGUUUUUAUGUGACUUUUGUUCAUCUUUCAAGUUCGUUCUUACUUCGUUCUUCUAUUGUUCUUCGUUGCUGCCUUAGAGGAAUUCUGUUGAAUCCUCAAUUGUUGCGAGUUAGGCUAACUUAGGCGUUUUUGAGUAAAGAAACUGCUUAAGACCGCACGGGUCGCAUGGAAAAGAUCUAAGUCCGUGACACCUACACUGCAGAUAGAUAAUCCACCCUGCCUCAAAAUGGUACAACCUACAUUGAAAAGGGUGCUUCUCAUCCAUGGAAACCAAUAAAUUAACAGCUAAAUUGAAUACUGAAAUGCUGCUCUUACAAGAUUGAAAGCAAUUGCAUCAGUGAAUACCCUAUAGAGUCUCUCCCAAACUACCUCUUGGGAACCACGUGUAGCAGGUAUUUUUGAUAGUCCAAACAAAAACAACCCACUCUGACCUUCGUUUACUUCUUUAAAAGAUAUAUUGCAGUUUGAAACUAGAAAAAGUUGUAAAUGCAUUGUGAUUGUGAUUUGGGUUGCGAAAAUACUAAUAGUAAUACCAUAGGCUUGUGAUUCACGUGAAAAAGUAGGAGCAUUAAACUUAAUUCAUUUCACCUGCCACAAUUUCUAUUCACUGGGAAAAUACAAAUUUGGUUGCUUUUGUUAGUCAUACAAUAUACUUGCUAUGCAAGAAAUGGAGAAUGUCGGUUGAUUAAUCAAAAUAUAUUUUUUGUAAUAGGAAGGAGGCUCUCUGGAAAAGUUGAGGAAGUUACCG